AAUCAACGCUGGCGGCGUGCCUCAGACAUGCAAGUCGAACGAUUAAAGCUCUCUUCGGAGAGUGCAUAGAGUGGCGCACGGGUGAGUAACACGUAAGUAAUCCACCUUCGAGUGGGGAAUAACGUCCGGGAAACGGACGCUAAUACCGCAUAAUGCAGCGGCAUCGCAAGAUGACAGUUGUUAAAGGAGCAAUUCGCUUGAAGAGGAGCGUGCGGCAGAUUAGCUAGUUGGUAAGGUAAUGGCUUACCAAGGCUACGAUCUGUAACCGGUCUAAGAGGACGGUCGGUCACACUGACACUGAAUAACGGGUCAGACUCCUACGGGAGGCAGCAGUCGGG
rnacentral:rRNA from 1 species